rnacentral:lncRNA from 1 species
CGCAGCGCUGCUCCGAGCGAAGGGUUCCGCCACCAUCGGGCCUCGCUUUAGGGAUUCCCACAGCUGUGUCCCGAGGGAUGACGAUAUCAGAGCAAACCCUGUGCUUAAAUCAAAGGGAAUGCGGAAUCUCAAGCAGCAGCUCUGAGGUUGGAGGAGGAUAAGGGUCAAAGCGCUGCGGGAAAGGAGGUAGAGGCGGUAACAGGGAUUGUGCCCCUCUGGCAGUGCCAGGCUGAGGUGUUGGGUUAUUUUUCCACCAGGUCGUUACAGAUUUGUUUGAAUGCAGCAGGAUGAUCCCUGCAUCUACAGCCCGGUGCCCGCAGUCUCAGCGCACGCCGCGAGAUGGAGCUCGGCGCUGCACCGCUCUCCUCCCGCUCAGGGAUGUCUCCCAUCCGACACUCGGAGAGAACUGGAACAGCAUUACUCCAAACUUACUAGGAACGAGGAUAUUUUGCAAUAGAAACUUCUGCUCCAAGCUACUUAGCAACUGAUCGUCAAUAAAUCACUGCACUCAGGAGGAACUUGAAAAGCU